rnacentral:rRNA from 1 species
AGGGUUCGAUUAUGGCUCAGGAUGAACGCUAGCUACAGGCUUAACACAUGCAAGUCGAGGGGAAACGAUAUUGGAAGCUUGCUUCCGAUAGGCGUCGACCGGCGCACGGGUGAGUAACGCGUGGGUAACCUGCCUCAUACAGGGGGAUAACAGUUAGAAAUGACUGCUAAUACCGCAUAAGACCACGGUACCGCAUGGUACAGUGGUAAAAACUCCGGUGGUAUGAGAUGGACCCGCGUCUGAUUAGGUAGUUGGUGGGGUAACGGCCUACCAAGCCGACGAUCAGUAGCCGACCUGAGAGGGUGACCGGCCACAUUGGGACUGAGACACGGCCCAG